CUGACUCAAAGAACAAACACUUAUUUUAAACUGGAUCUAAAACUGUUGGGUUGUGUUCAUCCCUACAGGAUCAGAUAUAAUGAGCCUAUCAGAGCCAAGAUCCAGAAGACCUGUGACAGGAAGUGAAGACACACAGAGAGGAACUCUGAGUCCUGCGGCAGGAAGCGGUCCUUCUCUCCAAGAACUCCUGGAGCCAGGCCUGCAAGCUGGUCCAGAACUAGAGUCCAACCGGUCGACCUCGUGAAGUUAAACUAAACUACACAAUUAUUAAGGAUCAUGUUUAAAGUUUAAAAUGGAUGCUUUCAGACUGCAGGGUUUCCCACACAUAGACUCUACUUGUAUACAGGUAUAUUAACGGCCGCCAAAGUAUAUUUCGCGACCCAUUUUUUGUUUUGUCCGCAAGCACGACGCCAUCUGCGAUCGAUUAACGAGUGGACAAUGAUCCCUCGCUCUACGCCUCCUGUAGAGCGAGGGAUACUCGAAUACUGAAUGUUCCUUCUGUAUCAGAGUAGCACAUGAUAACAGAGGCCCUACGUAGCUGUGUACGUAGCUGUGUACGUAGUCGGAUGUCUGACUACAUGGAUGGUGCUCAUGAGACACUGUGUUGAAGUUAUGAUAGCUAUGUUCCUCAGAUUGGCAUGAGGACACAGCCCCUAGAGCAAGGGUGUCAAACUCAAUUUCCUCUCGGGCCACAUUAGCAUCAUGGUUGCACUCAAAGGGCCAAUUGUAUAUAUA